UUAAGGUCAAAUAUUAGACCUAGACAGAAAAUAAGUGUAUGCGUUUGAUGUUAUUGGGAUUGAAUUUUGAGAAUUUCAAAAUUUCGUGAAGGCUUAUAGGUGAAUUAUUCAGGAUUAAGGAUUUUUGUGAUUAAGUUCUGUGUGUAUGGUUAAUGAUGUGUUCAGAAUGUGGUUAAGGGUCAAGGGUUGACCAGAUAAAUUAUAUCUGUAACAAACCCUAAGAAUAUAUUAAGAACAACAACGUUCAGUUAGAAAACCCUAGCGUUUGAUAAGAAACCCUAGAAACUGGUUCUGGAAAACCCUAGUUUCAGUUCCGGGAAUCCGAAACCCUAAUUCGGCGCAUGAAACCCUAAAUCGGGAACUUAAUGGCAUAAGUGUAAAUAAUUAUAAGAUUAAUUAGGGUUAAUUUUAACAAAUUGAUUACAAAACCCUAAUUCUCAAUCUGAAACCCUAAUACUUGAUCUGAAAACCCUAGUUUCAGAUUCUGAUAAAUUGAAGCCCUAAUCUGGGAAAUUAAUGGAGAAUUAUAAUGCUCUACUGCUAUUAUUAUAAUAUUAAUUAGGGUAACGCUUAAUUAAUUAGCAAACCCUAAUUUCAAAUUAUCGAACUUAAACUUUUCCGUCAGGAACCCUAAUGAUG
rnacentral:lncRNA from 1 species